GCGAGGCGAAAGAUCUCGUUUUCCCUGACAGCUGACUUCCUCUGGCGCAAUUCAUCCAGAGGCGCUGGAGGGUUCUCGGGCCCAGAGGGCCUGCCAAAAAGGCAGUCAGACAGUUGGUUUAUGAGUCAUUCUGUCUCUGUCUCUCCUCUCUUUUUUUUUUUUGAGACGGAGUUUCGCUCUUGUUGCCCAGGCUGGAGUGCAGUGGCGCAAUCUCGGCUCACCGUAACCUCCGCCUCCCAGGUUCAAGCGAUUCUCCUGCCUCAGCCUCCCUAGUAGCUGGGAUUACAGGCAUGUGCCACCACGUCCGGCUAAUUUUGUAUUUUUCGUAGAGACGGGGUUUCUCCAUGUUGGUCAGGCUGGUCUCGAACUCCUGACCUCAGGUGGUCCGCCCUCCUCGGCCUCCCAAAGUGUUGGGAUUAUAGGCGGGAGCCACUGCGCCCGGCCCAUUCUGCCUCUCUUACUGCCAAGUAUCCUAGAGCCAUCUUCCGGCUGCAGGGAAUGUGAACUGAAGAGAAAGGUGUCCUCUCUUCUCAUAAAGAGACCCAAAGACGAAUGCCCCGCAGUCUCUCGUUCCACCUUACGAGAAACACCCACAGGUGUGGAGGGGCAACCCACCCCUUCAUCUGGUGCCCAACGUGGAGGCUUUUCUCUAGGGUGAAGGUACGCUCGAGCGUGGUCAUUGAGGACAAGUUGACGAGAGAUCCCGAGUACAUCUACAGUCAGCCUUGCGUCUGCAGGUGUACCCAACAGCUCCGAAGAGACAGCGACCAUCGAGAACGGGCCAUGAUGACGAUGGCGGUUUUGUCGAAAAGAAAAGGGGGAAAUGUGGGGAAAAGCAAGAGAGAUCAGAUUGUUACUGUGUCUGUGUAGAAAGAAGUAGACAUAGGAGACUCCAUUUUGUUCUGUACUAAGAAAAAUUCUUCUGCCUUGAGAUUCUGUUAAUCUAUGACCUUACCCCCAACCCCGUGCUCUCUGAAACAGGUGCUGUGUCAAACUCAGGGUUAAAUGGAUUAAGGGUUGUGCAAGAUGUGCUUUGUUAAACAAAUGCUUGAAGGCAGCAUGCUCCUUAAGAGUCAUCACCACUCCCUAAUCUCAAGUACCCAGGGACACAAAAACUGCGGAAGGCCGCAGGGACCUCUGCCUAGGAAAGCCAGGUAUUGUCCAAGGUUUCUCCCCAUGUGAUAGUCUGAAAUAUGGCCUCAUGGGAAGGGAAAGACCUGACCGUCCCCCAGCCCGACACCCGUAAAGGGUCUGUGCUGAGGAGGAUUAGUAUAAGAGGAAGGCAUUCCUCUUGCAGUUGAGACAAGAGGAAGGCAUCUGUCUCCUGCCCGUCCCUGGGCAAUGGAAUGUCUCGGUAUAAAACCCGAUUGUACGUUCCAUCUACUGAGAUAGGAAGAAAACGCCUUAGGGCUGGAGGUGGGACAUGCAGGCAGCAAUACUGCUUUGUAAAGCAUUGAGAUGUUUAUGUGUAUGCAUAUCUAAAAGCACAGCACUUGAUUCUUUACCUUGUCUAUGAUGCAAAGACCUUUGUUCACGUGUUUGUCUGCUGACCCUCUCCCCACUAUUGUCUUGUGACCAUGACACAUCCCCCUCUCAGAGAAACACCCACGAAUGAUCAAUAAAUACUAAGGGAACUCAGAGACGGCGCGGAUCCUCCAUAUGCUGAACGCUGGUUCCCUGGGUCCCCUUAUUUCUUUCUCUAUA
rnacentral:lncRNA from 1 species